rnacentral:rRNA from 1 species
ACCGGCAGCUCAAGUGGUGGCCAUUAUUAUUGGGCCUAAAGCGUUCGUAGCCGGUUUGAUAAGUCUCUGGUGAAAUCCCGCAGCUUAACUGUGGGACUUGCUGGAGAUACUAUCAGACUUGAGGUCGGGAGAGGUUAGGGGUACUCCCAGGGUAGGGGUGAAAUGCUAUGAUCCUGGGAGGACCACCGGUGGCGAAGGCGGCUAGCUGGAACGUUCCUGACGCUGAGUAACGAAAGCCAGGGGAGCGAACCG